rnacentral:rRNA from 1 species
GGAUCCUGCGUCUCCGUAAGGUAAUGCGGGUGAGAGUGGCGGAAGGGCGAGUAACGCGUGGGCAACCUGCCUCUAAGUUGGGGACAACUCACCGAAAGGUGGGCUAAUACCGAAUGUGGUUGCUUCGGGCAUCCGGAGCGGAUUAAAGCUGGGGAUCCUUCGGGACCUGGCGCUUGGAGAGGGGCUCGCGUACCACCAGCUUGUUGGUAGGGUAACGGCCUACCAAGGCUUACGGUUAGCUGGUCUGAGAGGAUGGUCAGCCGCACUGGGACUGAGACACUGCCCGGACUCCUACGGGAGGCUGCAGUCGAGGAUCUUUUGCAAUGCGCGAAAGCGUGACAAAGCGACGCUGCGUGGAGGAUGAAGGCCCUCGAGUCGUAAACUCCUGUCAUCCGGGAAAAAUGGCAUUGGCGUAAAUAGCGUUGGUGUGUGAUGGUACCGGAAGAGGAAGCCAUGGCUAACUCUGUGCCAGCAGCCGCGGUAAUACAGAGGUGGCGAGCGUUGUUCGGAUUUACUGGGCGUAAAGGGUGCGUAGGUGGUUCCGUGUGUCGAGUGUGAAAGCCCACUGCUCAACGGUGGAAUGGCAUUUGAAACUGCGGGACUAGAGUGCAGGAGGGGAGGGUGGAAUUCUUGGUGUAGCGGUGAAAUGCGUUGAUAUCAAGAAGAACACCGGCGGCGAAGGCGGCUCUCUGGAAUGUAACUGACACUGAGGCACGAAAGCUGGGGGAGCGAACAGGAUUAGAUACCCUGGUAGUCCCAGCCCUAAACGGUGUGCACUUGGUGUGGGGAGUAUUGACCCUCCCCGUGUCGGAGCUAACGCGUUAGGUGCACCGCCUGGGGAGUACGGCCGCAAGGUUAAAACUCAAAGAAAUUGACGGGGGCCCGCACAAGCGGAGGAGCAUGUGGCUCAAUUCGAUGCAACGCGAAGAACCUUACCAGGGCUUGACAUGUGGCUGCAUGCCUGCUGAAAGGCAGGAGGCCUUCGAGGGUGCCACACAGGUGCUGCAUGGCUGUCGUCAGUUCGUGCCGUGAGGUGUUGGGUUAAGUCCCGCAACGAACGCAACCCUUUUGUUUAGUUGCCACCGCCGGUGAUGAGCCGGCGAGCACUUUAGACAGACUGCCCGUACAAGCGGGAGGAAGGUGGGGAUGACGUCAAGUCAGUAUGGCCCUUACGCCCUGGGCUGCACACGUGCUACAAUGGUCGGUACAGUGGGAAGCG